GGUGAGUGCAUUUCCAAGUGUGAAGGGACCCUUCCUGUAGUGUCUUAUAUACAAUACAGUAGGAAUGUUCCUUCUUUGCCACUCAUACACCUUUA
ensembl:miRNA